rnacentral:rRNA from 1 species
GGAUCUCUUGGUUCUGGCAUCGAUGAAGAACGCAGCGAAAUGCGAAAAGUAGUGUGAAUUGCAGAAUUCAGUGAAUCAUCGAAUCUUUGAACGCACAUUGCGCCCCUUGGUAUUCCAUGGGGCAUGCCUGUUCGAGCGUCAUUUUGUACCCUCAAGCACUGCUUGGUGUUGGGCGUUUGUCCUGCAAAGGACUCGCCUGAAAGCGAUUGGCGGCCAACGUACUGGUGGUAGAGCGCAGCACAAUUUGCGUCUCUCCCUUCUACGUUAGCGUCCAUGAAGCCUUUUUCAAACGUUUGACCUCGGAUCAGGUAGGGAUACCCGCUGAACUUAAGCAUAUCAAUAAGCGGAGGAAAAGAAACCAACAGGGAUUGCCCUAGUA